UGCAGUCCAAAUGUUUUUCUUUCUAAGUUUUAUGUGAUUUCCACUAGUGAUAUGUGUCAUUACGGCUGAACGAGCGGAUACGCUGAUUUGUAAUUAGAGGAUGCUGCAAGUGGUCUGAGUCAGUUGUAACUGAAAUGAUUGUGAGAAGAAAUACGCUUCAGCUGUGAGCCCCAGACUGAGGUUAGGACACCAAGCAGUGCGACCAACAGCAGGACGAGGAAGUCUCAGCAUGCAGUCCUCCUCUGUUGACACACACAUCCUGUGUCUGAUGGGAAAGCAGAGCAGUGUGACGAACAGGUCAUGAGCAUCUUCUUGGGGCAGCGAGGGUCAUGUGAGCGACAGUGAGAAAGACUCCAGGCCAGGAAUAAUUCUUUAAGGCGGACAUCAAGUACUCCUCAAGGACAACACUGAUAUUCCCAAAUGAUGCUGAGUUGGAGACAAUAAAGUAAACUUU